rnacentral:rRNA from 1 species
AAUGAACGCUGGCGGCAGGCCUAACACAUGCAAGUCGAGCGAGCAUUUCGGUGCUAGCGGCGGACGGGUGAGUAACGCGUGGGAACGUGCCCUUUUCUGCGGAAUAGUCCUGGGAAACUGGGGGUAAUACCGCAUACGCCCUUUUGGGGAAAGAUUUAUCGGAGAAGGAUCGGCCCGCGUUGGAUUAGGUAGUUGGUGGGGUAAUGGCCCACCAAGCCGACGAUCCAUAGCUGGUUUGAGAGGAUGAUCAGCCACACUGGGACUGAGACACGGCCCAGACUCCUACGGGAAGCAGCAGUGGGGAAUCUUAGACAAUGGGGGCAACCCUGAUCGAGCCAUGCCGCGUGAGUGAUGAAGGCCUGAGGGUUGUAAAGCUCUUUCAGCUGGGAAGAUAAUGACGGUACCAGCAGAAGAAGCCCCGGCUAACUCCGUG